CAGAUACCGCCCUAGUUCUGACCGUAAACGAUGCCAACUAGCGAUCCGCCAGUCGACUCAUCGCUCUGGUGGGGAGCUUCCCGGAAACGAAAGUCUUCCGGUUCCGGGGGAAGCAUGGUUGCAAAGCUGAAACUUAAAGGAAUUGACGGAAGGGCACCACCAGGAGUGGAGCCUGCGGCUUAAUUUGACUCAACACGGGGAAACUCACCCGGCCCGGACACCGUAAGGAUUGACAGAUUGAUAGCUUUUUCAUGAUUCGGUGGAUGGUGGUGCAUGGCCGUUCUUAGUUCGUGGAGCGAUUUGUCUGGUUUAUUCCGAUAACGAGCGAGACUCUGGCCUACUAAAUAGUUGACGCAUUGCCACUGUGCGCACAACUUCUUAGAGGGAUUUUCGGUGUUUUCAACCGCACGAAAUUGAGCAAUAACAGGUCUGUGAUGCCCUUAGAUGUCCGGGGCUGCACGCGCGCUACACUGGCAAACGCAACGUGCCUGUCCUGCCCCGAAAGGAGCGGGUAAACCCCUGAAAUUUUGCCGUGAUUGGGAUCGGACAUUGCAACUAUUGUCCGUGAACGAGGAAUUCCUUGUAGGGGCGAGUCACCAACUCGUCCCGAAUACGUCCCUGCCCUUUGUA
rnacentral:rRNA from 1 species